AAUACAAAUAACCACACCCGAUGGGUGUCUCCAGUAAUAUGGUCUAUUCAAGAUGUGUAUGGACAGGCAUCAAUAAAAACUCGUCAGGGAGCGAUAUCAUAUUGGCCUCGGAUUGGUCUUGGGCCGGGGACGCUUUAAUCUGAACACAUGUGAGCUCAUAUGAGCACGGAUAAAAGCAGGUCAUUUGUCUAUCUUUGUUCCUCGUAUGGUGCACUUCCGCUCCAUACACAUCUUGAACAGAGCAUAAUUCUGGACCACCUGUUUUAUCAUGCUUGAGAGUUAGGUAGUCAAUACGACACGUACUUCGCAUUAGUAACGUAUUUUAAGAAUACGGGAGAAAUCACAGCGUACCAGCGUUUCGGAUGAACACACUGCUUCCAUCUUUAGAUUCGCACAGACGGACAUGAUAAGCGAUAACGUCAUCAGUCGUCCUGUAAAAUCAUGGGUAAUGACGUCAUGGCGGAGGAUCAUAACCACAUCUCAGAAGUUGAGCAUCCGUCACAUCUGCUGUUGCCAACACUGAAAAAGCAAAAUCAACCCCAUCGAAAGAUAUGUUUAAAAAGAGUAUUGAACUUUCUUAAUCAUGCUUUUGCGUACUGAUAAAGUCCACAUAUUUUAGAUGAAAUAAUAACUGAAAGAUGUAGGGGUUUUGACGCAUGUAAUGGAACCAAUUAACUAAUAGAACUACGAAUAAUAUGACGGUGACAGUUGUGUUAAAGUUGGUGGCGCUUGACUAGAAUUCGGUUUCAGAAAUAAACGUCGUGGUUAGUGCGCUCGCCACUGGACCAAAGGUUCUCGGGUUCAAAGCCGUCCAAGGUCGAUGGAUUCUUAAGGGUGAUAAAAAUCGGUAGCACAACUUCCUUCGGAGGGGAAGUAAAGCCGGCGGUCCCUUGUCACAGAUUUACGAGCAUGAGCGACAUGUUUCGUAAGCAAAAUUCAGCGGCCAUUUCUCAUCAAUGUCUCUCCUGAUUCUCUGCUAGAUGGCUCUGGCAGAAACCUUAGAAUGGAGGAUACGAAGACCCAGACGGAGUUGUAGAACCAAGGAAGAAGAAGAAAAUAUUGAUAAUAGUCUAAGUUAACAGUACUACUCUGUCCACGAAAAUAUAUUAUAAAGCAUUCGAAAAAGGAAACAAAUUGCCGACGAAUUUGACAGUCAUUAAGCAGGUUCAAGGAACCUCCUGCAGACACUAAUUCAAAGCAGCCCCGAGGAUGCUGUCAGGCUCUUCCUCUGCCACACCCACUCCACCAGCCGAGCCGCAAACGAGGUUGAACGGCCAGCAGAAGAUUGCGCCCUCCCGCCGCGACGAAACCCGACGACCUGCUUCAAGUGCAGAAACUCAAGACGCAAAAAUGAGCGGCAAUGCGGCAGAAAUUUUGAAAGCACCGCUCUUUCAUUUUCAGGAAAGUAAUUAUCAAAUCAAAGAGAACGAGAUUUCGGGGCAUGUAGCAUGCAUUGGGAAGAUAAACCUAUACACAGAGUUGGUCUGAAAAUGUGAAUUAAAGAGAUCACUUGCGAGAACAAGGCAUAGAU